GCGUUGAAAAUUGUGCGAAGGUAGUAACGUUUAAUCUUUUCUUCAGUUUUGCUUCUCAAAGCUAUAGAAGUUUCCCUUUGGUGGAUGCAAAAACGCGAGAAAGUUACGACGAUCUCAAAGGGAAUCCAUGAGACAUGAACGAGGAGAAAGGGAACGAGAUUCGUCAUCCCAGGAUCGUUUACCACGAUAAUAUAAUCGUUGGGUUAGAGAGUAUACCUAAGUAUAAUUAACGUUGACAUAGUCAAAAGAUCAUAUGCAGCCGAGUUAUACUGCAACGUGACGAUGACUUUGUCAAUAAAUUUUCUUCUUCGCGUUGAAGGGGAGAAGUCGGAGGGCGGUAAGAGAAGAAGGAAGAGAGGGAAAAUGUGUCUUCGAUCGAAUAUCACGUAAUAUGAUAUUUUGUUAAAAUAAAACCCCGAUCGAUCGAUAAAUGCAAAAAAAAAAAAA